UAAUACCUUAAUCAUUUGACGUUACCUACAGAAGAAGCACCGGCUAACUCCGUGCCAGCAGCCGCGGUAAUACGGAGGGUGCAAGCGUUAAUCGGAAUUACUGGGCGUAAAGCGCAUGCAGGUGGUUUGUUAAGUCAGAUGUGAAAGCCCUGGGCUCAACCUAGGAAUCGCAUUUGAAACUGACAAGCUAGAGUACUGUAGAGGGGGGUAGAAUUUCAGGUGUAGCGGUGAAAUGCGUAGAGAUCUGAAG
rnacentral:rRNA from 1 species